rnacentral:tRNA from 2 species
GGGGCCGUAGCUCAAUUGGAUAGAGCUGUUCCGUCCUAAGGAAAGGGUUGUGGGUUCGACUCCCGCCGGCCCCACCA